GUUUAAUGGGCUCUCUGCAUGGAAAAAGUCUGUAGUGAUUGCCAAUUUCUAUGGUGUAAAUACUUGGUAAAUUUCAAGCUACCAACAUGAUGUUGAAACUGUUUAUGUUUGGGGCUUGAACCCACAGUCCUUUAACUGGGAUACGGACUUAAUGAAGCUCAGGUUCUUGGUGUCUCAUCACAGAAAGAGUUCAGUAAGAGACAAUGUGAUAGGUAAGAAGUGGUUUUAUUUAGAGAGAAACACUUCACAGACAGAGUGUGAGCCAUCUCUGAAGGUGAGAGCAGCGUGAAGGCAUAAGGUUGUCAGUUUUUAUAGGGGUGGGUAACUUCAUAGGCUAAUGAGUGGUAGGAGUAUUCCAGCUACUUUGGAAAAGCGGUGGAGAUUUCCAGGAAUUGUGUCACCACCCACUUUUUGAUGUUUAUAGUUGGCCUUGGAUCUGUCAUGGUGCCUGUGGGUGUGUCAUUUAGCUUGCUGAUGUGUUACAAUGAGCAUAUACUGAGGCUUAAGGUCUGAUGGAAGCUGUUUGCCAUGUUUUACCUGUUUGGUUCUAAUCAGUUUAUGUUAUGUCCUUGGGCUAUGUCAUUCUUAAGCCCUGCUCCCUUCCCUCCUGUUUCACCAUCAUGGGUCCCAAAUAUACAUCCUCCUGCUGUGUGUUUAGGUCAUUCUGCAUCUAUAAUAACUUCAUGCUUCAAUGCUGACAGUGUAUUCUUUUAAAAGCCAUUUUAAACUGCAAUUUAAAACUUCUAGGGCAUCAACAAUGCUUCUAAAUCGAUUCAGGUGAUCACACAUGAACAGCUCCUGCCAAGUCUGUGCACACAUAGUGACAACCAAGUCAGACAUGCCACCUGGUCCACUUAGAUUAUGAGAUGCCACUUCUUGUCAGAGUCAUCUCCAUUUCAAAGAUGUUGAAAUGUGCGAUAACGUAAACCUAGAGUACUCGACCUCCUUGAUCUCCCAAUUAAAAGUUAGCUCAAGAGCAAAAGGUUAAAAGUAGUCAUAAAAAGGUUGUUGUACUUCUUCUGAAUGAUAAGUUGAUCUCAGUCCCUUGAAAUGCAAGUACUAACCUGUUUGCUUCACUAAGGAAAGGACAAACAGGAGGACAGCAGCAGGGAGCGGUGAGGGGUACCAGCUCUCUUGAUCUCUGUUGAACCUUGAGUUGCUUAUCUUGACCCUUACAGUGUUUAGGUUAAAACAUUCCCAUAGGAUGGGAGCAUGAUAUCUUUCUCACCUCUAAUUCUCUGACAUCCAGCCCAGUGUACAGACCAGAGGAGACCCACAAGACACGAAGCUAAAUGCAACAUGGUACCCUGAAUGGGAGCCUAGAGCAGAAAAGGGGUAUAAGUGGGAAAAAUGAUGAAGUGUAAUUAAAAUCUGGUGCUUAGUCCACAGUAACAUACCUGCAUUGGUUUCUCAGUUUUAACAUCAGUUCAGUUACUCAGUUGUGUCCAACUCUCUGCAACCACAUGGACUGCAGCAUGCCAGGCUUCCCUGUCCAUCA
rnacentral:lncRNA from 1 species